rnacentral:misc_RNA from 1 species
AACGCACGAGACCUGCGGACCUGCGGAAGGAUCAUUAAUGAGAAACUGCCCCUCGCGGGUAGAUCUCCCACCCUUUGUAAACUUACCUUUGUUGCUUUGGCAGGCCCGUCUCCGGACCGCCGGCUUCGGCUGGCCAGUGCCUGCCAGAGGAUUCUAAAACUCUGUCUGUCAGUGUUGUCUGAGUCUAUAUACAAUCGUUAAAACUUUUAACAAUGGAUCUCUAGAUCGGAAGAGCACACG